rnacentral:lncRNA from 1 species
AAAAAUUACAUGAUCGAAAAAUAUGAGAGUAUAGGAGAUAUUAUAAGAGUUAACAUUAAAAUGAAGAAGGAAACUGGAGUGUCAUAAUAGAGAAAUAAGAUUUACCAUGUAAAUGGGCAUAUACAAAGACCUUCGACGCACCAUUUUAGCACAGUAUCUGGAUAUAAUUUAAUGCAAUCGCUGUUAUCGAUGCAUUCUGCUGUAAUGUCCAAUAAGUAGGAAAUAUUAGUAAAAUGGGUGAAACAUUGUGUAUAACAUAAUUAUGAGAAUGAACUUACUUUUACUAACGACUACAACAAUAAAAAGGGAAACAAAAAGUAUCACACUAUAAAUAAAAUUGAGAGUUUCAGCCAUUUAUUUUUCACUUUUGCAUAUAUAAAUAUGAAAUGGUUUGAUCACUUUAUA